AGACAGAGAGAAAGAUGGUUGAAGCGCCCGUGGCUAUGGCUAUAGUAGUAAAAUAUGCUAACAAUCACGAAGGAACAAACUGCGGCAUCUUUUAUUUUUAUCUGGAAGGCAGUAGCGUUUGUUUCUGCCGCAAUUAAAAGUUGGUUUAGGACUUAAAGGCUUACGAUUAGUAAUUGGAGUAGCAAGCAUUCUACCAAACUCAGAAUCCAUCAUGAACUCAAAUUCCUCAUUGGUAUCCCCUACGGAGAAGUGGUUGCCAUCCAUGCCCUUUGGAACACUAGCUCUGCAAUU
rnacentral:misc_RNA from 1 species